rnacentral:tRNA from 1 species
AUUAUUUUGGCAGAUUAGUGCAGCAAAUUUAGAAUUUGUUUAAGUAAAUUUUUAUUUACAUAUAAUAC